UACGAAGGGGGCUAGCGUUGCUCGGAAUCAUUGGGCGUAAAGCGCGUGUAGGCGGCUCGGUAAGUCCGCUCUGAAAGCCCCGGGCUCAACCUGGGAAUGGCGAUGGAUACUGGCUCGCUAGAGUGCGGUAGAGGAGAGUGGAAUUCCCGGUGUAGCAGUGAAAUGCGUAGAGAUCGGGAGGAACAUCAGUUGCGAAGGCGGCUCUCUGGACCAGCACUGACACUGAGGCACGAAAGCGUGGGGAGCAAACAGG
rnacentral:rRNA from 1 species